UGUAAUUUUAAAAAAUCGUAAUUGAUAUACGGACUCGACUGAAUCUUGUUUUUUUGUCCUCGGCAAAACUUUGGCAAAACAAAAUCUGUAUUUGAAUAGUUUGUAGGAGUAAAUAUCACAAAAAGUUGAAGACGCUACUUCUUUAAAUUAUAUGUAUGCAGUGUUAUAAUUAAACAUUAGGAUAUCAUGGAAAAGUGAAAAAGAUAUAUUUUAAACAAAAUGAAAUGGCAUGUAUAUGUGAAAAAAGGGGGUAAAAUGUGAAAAAAAUAUCAUACGGAAAAAGUCUAUACAAAUUUGCAGACAGAUUCGUGUAUAAAUUACUUGAAGUAGAGUUUCUUUUUAAUAUACAUUUUUACAUUCUCAUAUAAAUUUAUAGAUCUGGUAUUUGAGAACUACAGAAGACAAAUUAAAGCAGAGUGCAAAAGGAAUUUUAAUAAUCAUUGAAAAUAUUCUGGCUUCAAAAUGCAUGGAAAUGGAGAUGGGACAAAAUGCAUUCUACCAUUUGAUAGCCCAGAAUGAAUUACUUUAAAAGGCUAACAAGAAGAGGAGGCUCGCAGUAGAAGAUGCAGACUCAGAAUAAUUAAUAAAAUGUUAAAAUGC